AUUGAACGCUGGCGGCAUGCUUUACACAUGCAAGUCGAACGGUAACAGGCCUUCGGGCGCCGACGAGUGGCGAACGGGUGAGUAAUGCAUCGGAACGUGCCCAGGCGUGGGGGAUAACGCAGCGAAAGCUGUGCUAAUACCGCAUACGAUCUGCGGAUGAAAGCGGGGGACCUUCGGGCCUCGCGCGAUUGGAGCGGCCGAUGUCAGAUUAGCUGGUUGGUGGGGUAAAGGCCUACCAAGGCGACGAUCUGUAGCGGGUCUGAGAGGAUGAUCCGCCACACUGGGACUGAGACACGGCCCAGACUCCUACGGGAGGCAGCAGUGGGGAAUUUUGGACAAUGGGGGCAACCCUGAUCCAGCCAUGCCGCGUGAGUGAAGAAGGCCUUCGGGUUGUAAAGCUCUUUCGGCCGGGAAGAAAUCGCAUCUCCUAAUACGGGGUGUGGAUGACGGUACCGGAAUAAGAAGCACCGGCUAACUACGUGCCAGCAGCCGCGGUAAAAC
rnacentral:rRNA from 1 species